rnacentral:rRNA from 1 species
AUUGAACGCUGGCGGCAGGCCUAACACAUGCAAGUCGCACGAGUGGCGGACGGGUGAGUAAUGUCUGGGAAACUGCCUGAUGGAGGGGGAUAACUACUGGAAACGGUAGCUAAUACCGCAUACCAUCGGAUGUGCCCAGAUGGGAUUAGCUAGUAGGUGGGGUAAAGGCUCACCUGGGCGACGAUCCCUAGCUGGUCUGAGAGGAUGACAAGCCACACGUGAACUGAGACACGGGCCAGACUCCUACGGGAGGCAGCAGGGGGGUAUAUUGCACAAUGGGCGCAAGCCUGAUGCAGCCAUGCCGAGGGUAUGAAGAAGGCCUUCGGGUUGUAAAGUACUUUCAGCGGGGAGGCGUUACCCGCAGAAGAAGCAUAGGCUAACUCCGUGCCAGCAGCCGCGGUAAUUC